rnacentral:rRNA from 1 species
CUGCAUCUUGAACGCACAUUGCGGCCGCGGGUCACUCCCGCGGCCACGCCUGUCCGAGGGUCGGC